UUGAAAUCUGGCCCCCCCGCGGGCCCGAGUUGUACUUUGGAGAGGACGCUUCUGGCGCGGCGCCGUCCGAGUUCCCUGGAACGGGACGCCGGAGAGGGUGAGAGCCCCGUACGGGCGGCCGCCUAGCCUCUGCGAAGCUCCUUCGACGAGUCGAGUAGUUUGGGAAUGCUGCUCAAAAUGGGAGGUAAAUUUCUUCUAAAGCUAAAUACCGGCCAGAGACCGAUAGCGCACAAGUAGAGUGAUCGAAAGAUGAAAAGCACUUUUGAAAAGAGGGUCAAACAGUACGUGAAAUUGUUGAAAGGGAAGCGCCUGUGGCCAGACUUGCGCCCCGCGGACCACCCGGCGCCUCGCGCGCCGGGGCACGCCAGCGGGGCGCAGGCCAGCAUCGGCUCUCUCGGGGGGACAAAGGCCGCGGGAACGUAGCGCCCUCGCGGCGUAUUAUAGCCCGCGGCGCCAUGCCCCCGGGGGGGCCGAGGACCGCGCUCCGGCAAGGAUGCUGGCGUAAUGGCCACCGGCGACCCGUCUUGAAACACGGACCAAGGAGUCAAGCAUUGGGGCGAGUGUCUGGGUGGCAAGCCCGCACGCGGAAUGAAAGUGAACGCAGGUGGGAGCUUCGGCGCACCACCGACCGAUCCUGAUGUCCUCGGAUGGAUUUGAGUAGGAGCCCCGCCGCUUGGACCCGAAAGAUGGUGAACUAUGCCUGUAUAGGGUGAAGCCAGAGGAAACUCUGGUGGAGGCCCGCAGCGGUUCUGACGUGC
rnacentral:rRNA from 1 species